ACUUGUUUCUAGGUAAGAAAAUUAGGGCAAAACUGCAGAUUACAGUUACUGUUUGACCAAACGAUUGAGGAAACGGCUAAAACAUCAGAUGUUCAUGAAUUAAAUAAUCAAGUCGAAAAAUGUUUACUGCCAAACUCUGUGUAAUCUGUACAGUAGAAACGGAUGAAAUAGUAAUCAGUCUAAACAAAAACCAGCACCUGUAUGAGGGCGGGAUUGAAAACCACAUCAGAAAUCAAACUUCAGACUAGUCAAGUCUUCUCAACUUUAUGAGAAUAUUUUCAAGUAACCAUUGUAAAUAGAUGUCUGUUGUUUUCUUCUUCUCCUUUUUUGUAAUGCAGCCCACCGUAUAGACUCAUUUCAGAGAAACUGUUCUCCUUUCUCAAGCUGCGUAUUGACCACAACUUAAUCAUGAGUCUUAUCUCUCCAUCGCUGCAGACUGCAUUUGGGGUUUUUUUUGUAAUUGACAAUUGUGGUAAAGGCGUGGGCAAAGCAAGUAUAAAUAAUCUGUUCAUCAGCCAAGACCUCACAGCAACCUGCAAGCUGACAAUUGAGCAGAAAUACUUUAAAGGCUUUUCAGCUUUUCAGCCAACUAAUAACAAGUAUGGAGAUGAUGACGUUUGUGCUGGUGUCUACUGUGGCCCUGCUUAUCAGUCCAUGUGCUGCAAAUCCCAUCUGCAAUAUGAACUUAAACAAUAUCAUUGACCUUGUUCAAGAAUACAGUAAAACUUUGAAUGAGGUAAGACCGUAUCUUAUACAUUUAACUGCCUCUUAGCAUUCAUAGAGCUUUUUGUUGUUCUUGUUGUUAGUUUACUUUUAUUUUUUCUGCUUUGUUCAAGUUUUUAAAACUUGAUUGUGACAAUUUGUCUCUCCAACGUUGCAGAGUAUCUAUGUGGAGGAUGUGACACACUUGGUUGAAUCUGGAUGUGGGAAUAAUUUCAUCUGCAAAGUGCACGAGAUCCUGGAAAAUCAUGCCACAAAGCAGCAGAAAUCUAAAGAGAAGGAGAUUGUGAGAAACUUGGAAGUGUUUAUUAACGGCACAAAUGUGAACUGCACUGAAGUACUGAAGACUGUGCCGAAGGCAAGAACUGAAAAGCCAAUACCGGCUUUGCUGGAAAACCUCAAGAUAUGCAUUCAGAAGAGAAACUUCAGUGGAAAAUAAAAACACGCCUGGAUACCUUCCAGAUCUGUGGACUGUCUGUCAUAAUGCUUACAAGUCAUUUUCUUUGUUCUUUUUUUUUUCUUUUUGUAAUUUAUCACAAUUCAAGCAUUGGAUAUUUAUUUCAUUCUAUAGUUUAAGACCGUAUUUUUCUUCCUUUUUAUGCAGUUGAUGUUAUUUAAUAGUAGCUAUAUUCGGUACAUUAGCAAAGACAUAUCUGACUGAGCUGUGUUUAAUUGCAUUUGUAAAAAUGUAUGUGUAGCUGUCGUCAAACAGCACAACAGAUCAACUUGACGUUAUUGUACAACUGCGUAUUUAUUUUUUAUUUAAGUUAAGGAUUUUUAAUAUAUUUGUAUUACAUAUUUAUUGCAAUUGUCUCACAUUGCAUUGAACCAAGUGUUUACAGAACAAUAAUAAAUCACUU